UACGUAGGUGGCAAGCGUUGUCCGGAUUUACUGGGUGUAAAGGGCGUGUAGCCGGGCUGACAAGUCAGAAGUGAAAUCCGGGGGCUCAACCCCCGAACUGCAUUUGAAACUGUUGGUCUUGAGUAUCGGAGAGGCAGGCGGAAUUCCUAGUGUAGCGGUGAAAUGCGUAGAUAUUAGGAGGAACACCAGUGGCGAAGGCGGCCUGCUGGACGACAACUGACGGUGAGGCGCGAAAGCGUGGGGAGCAAACAGG
rnacentral:rRNA from 1 species